rnacentral:rRNA from 1 species
UACAGAGGGUGCGAGCGUUGUCCGGAAUCACUGGGCGUAAAGGGCGCGUAGGCGGCUUGAUAAGGUUGCGGUGAAAGCCCAGGGCUCAACCCCGGGUCGGCCGUGGCAACUGUCGAGCUGGAGCACUGUAGAGGCAGGUGGAAUUCCGGGUGUAGCGGUGGAAUGCGUAGAGAUCCGGAAGAACACCGGUGGCGAAGGCGGCCUGCUGGGCAGUGGCUGACGCUGAGGCGCGACAGCGUGGGGAGCAAACAGG